rnacentral:tRNA from 1 species
CGUGGUGUAGCUCAGUCCGGUAGAGCACCGAGCCGAUAACUCGGUUGCCGUAGGUUCGAAUCCUACCACCACGA